GACAAGCCGGGGAGGAGUUGGAGGAAGGGGAUCUGGUUUGGCUAUCUUCUAAAUACAUUAAACAGGCUGGAGGAAAGUUUGCGCCACGGUAUUUGGGGCCUUUCCCUAUUACUAAAAAAAUCUCUUCUGUGGCAUUUAGACUGCGUUUACCUUCUUCUUUUAAGAUCCAUCCUGUCUUUCACCGUUCUUUGUUAAAGUUAGAUACUUCUGGGCGCCGUAACACUGUAGCUGAAGACAUCACUGCCGUAUCUCCACCUUUGGAGGAGGAGGCCUUUGUGAGAGGGGAUAGUGUUAUGGUUGAGCCUUAUGGCUCCAAUACUGGGAGACGUGGUCGUAAGACUCCUCGAGAGUCAGACUCUCUUGAGGAGUGAGAGAGGAAACGGCUGCGGGAUAUCUUUGCAGAACCAUCUGACGAAGGCUCCUUUGAGGGUUUUACUGAGAGAAUGGAGGAAGAGGUGGUUAGCUCAGAGGAGGAUGACAUGGAAUGGACUCGUGUGAGGGAGGAUUUGGGUGUUCCUGGUAAUGAUAGCAUGGGAAGCGACUGGCGGGUUGCAGGAUCGGACCUGUGGACGAGUUGGAGGGAUGGGACGGGAUCCACAGCUGGGGAUGCUGUGGGGCGUAGUCAAAGAUGUUUUAGUUCUGAUGAGGAUGAUGAUGAUGAGGCACCUGGAAUUAGGGUAACACCUGAUAGCGAUGAGGAGUUGUAACUGGCAUAAAAUGGGGUCUUGAAUCCAGAGCUAAUUGCGUUGGGCAAGGUAAUCUGGACGGACGCUUGGGAUCUUGUUGGGAAAUUCCUGAAGACGGGUGUGUUUCGUUUGCUGAAUACCUUGGACCUCCGUCGUCUUCUUGACGGACAUUAUUUACCUACUCGGAAUUGACGCUGGACUGGCUGACUGACUGACUGACUGACUGGCUGACUGACUACGAUCUUGGACGACCCUUUCUUUGGUUAUCGGAGGAUUUCGUGGAACCUAAGACGCCUGCACCUGGUAAUCGACCUCGGACCGGAUUGGGACCCCGCUGACCGCUGCAACCCUUGAUUGAAGUGUUUGGACCUGGAGUUCGCCCGCUGCUCGGAGGAGUAACAACUUAGUUGCUCAACCACAGCUGUUGAGUAGCAGAGAGGAAUCUGCUGCCAGUAUUUAUGUUCUAUUGAAUCUUUGUUUACCAGCUUUUGUUUGUUUAUAGUCCCAGGCUGAAGUAAGCAUUUUUGGUUUAACCCGGAUUAAACUCCUGUUUAAUCCGGUUCAUCUUUUGAACCAUUUUUGAGUGACUUUUCAUAUUGAAGGCGAGUGUUUGCCUAGCUCUUUGUUUUUUACGAGCAUUUUUGGUUCUGUAUCUUUAAUAAACUGUGUUGAAUCUUA